AUCUGUGAAGCAGCUCCUCUGUCCUCCCUCGCGAUGCUGUGUGGAUGCCCCACACAGCAUCGUGCGGGAGGACAGAGGAGCUGCUUCACAGAU
rnacentral:miRNA from 1 species